GACAGAGAGAGCAUGAGCGGGGAAGGGGCAGAGAGAGAGGGAGACACAGAAUCUGAAGCAGGCUCCAGGCUCCCAGCUCCCAGUUCUUCAAGCUACAAUACAGUUGAACAGUAACAAGAAUUAGUCUAUGGAGACAAAAUAGCUUUGUGCUCUGAAAAUAUGGACUGAGUCUUUGCUUCUCUAAUGCUUGUUAUUUAGUCCUUAGUUUAGUUAUUGAACAGAGAUCUCUAGUCUUUAGUGUUUAAAAGGCACUGCUAAUAUUUACUUCCAUGGGCUAUGUGUGGCAAAGUUUAAAAGAAGCAAUGGGUAUUUGUUUUUAUACUACCUGCCCUGUAAAACAAAACAACAAAAGGUUUAAAGUGCUUUGUAAAGUUAAAGGUGCAGUAAAAUAACUUCAGGCUAAAUGAACGAAAGUAAAGGAAGAUGAAGGUAGCAUAAUAGGGUAUGACCAUGAAUAAAGUCUGUACAGUCCAGCACAUUGGCUGAUACAUGGGGAUCAUGCUUCAACAGCAGUUCUCAACCAGAGGUGAUUUUUGUCCCUCAGGAGACAUUUGGAAAUGUUAGUAGACACUGGGGUCAUCAUACUGGGAGAGGGGACACAGUUCACAAGGAGAUAUUAUCCAGCUCAAAAUGUCAGUAGUGCCAUGGUUGAGAAAGCCUGCUCUACAACAUGAAGACUGACUGGCACAUCUUUUCCAGUGUCAUUGACUAUGAGUCUGGAGUUCUCUCUUGUGCAACAAGAGAGUGCACACAGAAUUGAAUACAAGAGACGCUCAUGUCUGAGAGGAGACAGGGGCCCCAAACGGGCAUUUCGUCUCUGUAUUUAUUGAGCUCACAAGAUAUUACCCGUGUGGGUAGCUGAAGACAACAAGAUCUUACACAUGUGGUGACUAUCAUACUUGCACUAGCCCUGAGAUGUGAGAAGAAGAUGCCUUCAUCAUCUUAAACCAGGAUGAAUAAUAGAAGGGUGAUCUCAGAGACAGAGAGGUUAAUCACGAGAUGAACAGUGAAAAAGGGGAAGAAACCGAGGCACAAAGAGACUAGUUUCUUGCCAGAAUGAAUCCAGGCAGUUUGGCUCCAGGGUCCACCUCUUAACCAGUAUCCUAUGCCUGCACUUAACAUAUAUCUACUAUGUGC